rnacentral:rRNA from 1 species
GACAGAGGGUGCGAACGUUGUUCGGAAUUACUGGGCGUAAAGCGCAUGUAGGCGGCAGCGCAAGUCGGGCGUGAAAUCCCACGGCUCAACCGUGGAAGUGCACUCGAAACUGCGCAGCUAGAGUCCUGGAGAGGAAGGUGGAAUGCUUGGUGUAGAGGUGAAAUUCGUAGAUAUCUGGAGGAACACCGGUGGCGAAGGCGGCAUCCUGGACCGACACUGACGCUGAGGAGCGAAAGCCAGGGGAGCAAACGGG